AUCAAAAAAAAGGAGGGAGACAUUUUAUGAAGAUAAUAGAGAGGACCUGUUAAAAUAAUAAGAUUAUAAAUCUAAAAGGAAAGUAUUCUGAACAUUAUGCAAUGAGCGAGAAUAAUAAGAAUGUUCAUCAAAACUUAACUUUAUGAGGCUUGGAUAGGAAUUCUGGAAGUAAUCACGCACGAGAAGGGCUUGCUGGAAAUUUGAAGUGCUACAUUAUAAGAGAAAUUAUUCCUUGAAGCCUGACGAAUUUGGACUAAAAGCAGAUGGAAUGUAUGAUAUCAAUUUGGAUGCUGAUGUUCAAUACAGAAUAAAUGUCGGUUGGAUGAAAUGGUGAUUAGCCAGUGGAGUCCUGUAUAGGAAAAUUCCAAAAUCUGCCAAGGACUUAAGGCUUCUACACAUUGAGAGCAAUUUUCGUCAAAAAAAUUCUUUUUAGGUAAAUCGUCUGUACUGCUGUAGCAGAAUUCCGAAUGUAAAGGUGGUUCCUGGGACUGACUUAGAAAGACAAAGUCAAGAAUGAUCGCAUUAGAGAAAGUCUUGGGGUUCAGUGGGGUCAGUACAUUGCAGAAAAAGCAAGAGAAAGACGGCUGAAGUGGUAUGGUCACAUCAUGCGUUUUGAGGAAGAUCACAUGAUCCGGCGCGCACUAUGCAAGUUAAAGAUGUCAAAAGUGGUCCGGGAAGAUCUCCAACGCCGUGGAAAUUCACGAUUCGUGUUAACGUAAAGCGAACUAAGCUCGUGAUUUCUAAAACGCAGGAGCGCGCACUUGGUACUUUCGAAGUAUUAGGACCAUACCUCCGAUAAUGGAAUGUAACGGCGGAUAAAGAGAAAAAAAACAAUUUAUGUUAAUUAACUUGUUUAAGGCAAUUUUUCAAAUUACACAUUUUUUUAUACUUUUGCCUGAAUUUUGUAAUUUUUCAAAUCAUGCCUUUUGCAAAAAUUAAUCAAAGCAUUAAACGAUAUCCUAAAAAACAAUCGGGAAAAAUGAUCCAACCUUUUGCCAUGACUGAGACUUAUACCAUCGAUUAGGUAUUGGCUAUAAGGUGAAAAGUUCUGAUCCAGAACCAACAUGAAAAGUAUAAAACAUGUGCUUGAAGAAUUAGUUGAAUUAUUUGACAAAACUCCUUUUUACAAUAAUAAAUUUAUCUAACUUGGCUGAUGUCAUAGAACAAUUUCUAUAAUAAUAAUAAUAAUGCUGGCACAACAUUCCAUGAAGGAGCAAGGCCUUCCCGCAAGGGGAUUUCUAGACAUGCAUUAUUAUUUUUUCUUGUAUGGGAUGAGGUUGUCAGUCCCAUGCCCGUGGAAUCAAGGAUGCAAUCCGAAUACUUUUAACGCCAGAAAAAAUCCUGGUGACCUAAAGGGGAUUUGAACCCGGGACACUUGCAUUAUAGAGCGAGUGCUCUACCAAUUGACCCAUGCCCAAUAAAAUCCACUACUUCUGUCCAAAAAACUUCAGGAACGUAGAAAAGCAUUCACCAUGGGCUAGGCGUCCCUGGGCAAUCUAGGUUUAGCAGAUUCUUCCUAUACGAGCACAUUGUAAUGAUUACAUUGUAAUCAUUGUAAUACAAGAUACACCAAGGUGACCAUUUAGUUUCCGCAACCUUGUUUUAGCACUUUGACGCUGUUUGUCGGUCCGAUACACACAGAAAAAUGGAAAAUUCUUAAACUGAAACACCCAGGAAUUUAAUUUUAAAUCCAAUUCAAUGAAUGCCAGUGCCCUAAUUCUAAAUCUUUGAUCAUUUAAUUUUAGUUGUAAUUUGCAAAUCUGUAGACAUUUUUCAUUUUCCAGCUAAUGCUGAACUUAAGUUCUCGAUCUCUUAACUUGAAAGAGCUAGGGAUUCUAGCUCAUUUCUUUCGCUCAAAGCUUCUAAACUUAAACGCCUCAGGGAUUCACGUCCAAUUUAAGUUCCCAGGAUCUUAUAUAUUCUUAAAUUUAGAGUCAAAAUUUUUCUGUGUGUAGGGAGCUUCCUGAGCUUUGUAGGUUAUCAAACUAUUUCUAUAGGAACAAUUUCUAUACGAACAAUUUCUAUAGGACGAUUUAAAGACGAUUUUCCUAUAACACACCAUGUCAAAAUCUCUUCAUUUUCCUGUAAUUUUCCAGAUUUUUUUAAAUUAAAUCCUUGUAUAACCUUCAAAGCACAAUGUGCAAAAAUGUAUGUAAGUUAGUCUGUGUGGCGUUUGCAGACGGGACUAGGUACAUUUUAUAGGUAAUUAUGUUGGAUGAAAAACUGUCAAGACCCAGAGCGAUAUUCACUAGGAGUCCUUGUACAUAUGGCUUUAUUCUUUUGAAAAAAAAAAUACGAUUUUGAUGUAGAAUUACACAAGAUCAACUGAGAGAAUCUUUAUGGAAUUCGAUAUAGGAGUCAUUUUUGGAGAAAAGGUCCGUCCGGACGCGGCAACAUAAUCUGUGGAGCUUUCAACCAAUAAGAUCAAAAAACGCACUCUUCUCCGGAGCUUUCGACACGCUCCGUGUCUUCCUCAGUGCCCGGCUGACACCGGCUAGGGAAGAAGGUUUUAAUUUUUUUUUAUUUAAAUAAUUCUUGUAGUAAGCUUUCCGAAACGUAAGCUCAAAUUACAUAUACAAAUACAAAUUUUAAUAUAAUUAAAAGCUUAAACUGCCAAACAAGAGCCACUACGGAAUCUUUUUGACUUAUUUGAAAGAUCCGGAAGUUUUUUCGACGAGGUGUUUCGGUAGUCAAUCAGUCUUUCGACAUAGAGGAGAUUGGGGCAAAACUUGUCAAAACGCAUAUUUAAGCUCUGAGAAAACUUAAACGUUUUAUAAUGAGCAUAUUCUUAUAGGAAAUUUCCUGCUCUACAACAUUGCAGAAGACUAUUUUCCUCUAUCUCGAAAGAAAUGUGAUUUUCGAAUCAUUUUCUAAAAGUCGAUUUUGUGGAGAUUCUCAAAAUUGUUGGGGCAAAUUUUGUCAGUCUUCGAAUAAUUUGUGACGUUUUACUCUCGCAAACGUUAAAAAUAUCAAAUAGACAUAUUUUUAUAGGAAAUUUAUUCCUCUACAACUUUGUCGAAGAUAAUUUUUCUCUAGCUUAACGAGAAAUGUGCCUAAAUUGAGCUAAUCAGUGUUGAUAUUUUCUGUAAGCCAAAUAUUCCAAAAAUACGGCUCAAAAUUUCAUUAUUUUUUUAUUUGACAUAAUCCUUCCUCGAAUCCCUUGAAACUUUGUAAGUUUAAGAAGGUUCAUGAAGGCUAUAUAUAAUAAGAAUUUCAAGCCUCAGUCUCUUUUAUUUUUUAUUUUAGAAAAUAUUGAAAUUUUGCCCCAGUCUUCCCUAUUGAUUUGUGACUUUUGUGACUAAACGUGUUGAUCUCUUCUCUUUGAGAUGGCAUUUUCUCUGGCAUAGCAUACCGGAGGAUCCCGGUGAUGGCUUGCAGAUUUUUGUCCUGGAGUUUUGAAGGAUCUUCAAAUACGAACUCAACAAUAUAGGGGAAAGUGGUCUGCCUUUGAACGAAAAAUGAUGUUCAAAAUUUGAGAUUUUUUUCAGAGUAAACUACAACAUGAGUUUUACUUUGCACUACACUAAAAAAUUCUCUUGUUAAUUAAGCUUCUAUGCUUAUCCCAUUCAGGACUCGCAAGUCCUCAGUUUUUCCUGGUGAGGAACUUGAAAAUGUGAUGUCGAUAUAUUCAAAGCAGCCUGCAUGGUCUGCCUUUGAAUGUGGUUGAGGCAGCCUUUGAAUCUUAAUUUUUCACUGAGAAUAUUAGGGCUUUCACAUUAAACGGCCCAUAAUUAAUUAGCAUGAACCCUAAUGCACUCAAUAAAACCACCACUGUAGUCAAAAAUCAUUAUACAACAAUUUUUUUUUAAUUUUUCUGAAACACUGUUUUUCACUUGAAAAUUUAUAAGAAAAUGCCAUUGAAGUUGACAAUUGUCAGUUUGAAACAUCCCGGCCGGACUAAAUUAGGAGUACUAUUCUGCUCCCGGACAGGAAGCUGGAAGAAGACCACUUUCCCCUAGGGUGAAAUGAACAUCUAUUUACGCUUGAAGAACUUGUGUUAUGUCCUAUGGACAUCCUUCUCGCAAACAAUUAGAAUAUAAAAUUUGAAUACUUUUUUUUUUUAUAAGAAAAUGCAAAAUGGAGAAAAAUGCUAUGCUAGUUGUACUGUAUAAAUUACAUUAAAUAAAUUUCAAUAUUUUAACAAAA